GGCACAAACUUGAAGUAGAAUAGUUGGAUAUGGUUAGCUGAUCCUAAUGACCUACUCUGCUUCAGUUUGUGCUC
rnacentral:pre_miRNA from 1 species